UUAGGUUAGGUUAGUUUAAAUUCAUUGGUCAUUGUGUGUGUGUGUGUGUGUGUGUGUCAUUAGGUUAAGUUAGGUUAGGUUAGUUUAAAUUCAUUGGUCAUUGUGUGUGUGUGUGUGUGUGUGUGUGUGUGUGUGUGUGUGUGUGUCAUUAGGUUAAGUCAGGUUAGGUUAGUUUAAAUUCAUUGGUCAUUGUGUGUGUGUGUGUGUGUGUGUGUGUGUCAUUAGGUUAAGUUAGGUUAGGUUAGUUUAAAUUCAUUGGUCAUUGUGUGUGUGUGUGUGUGUGUGUGUGUGUGUGUGUGUCAUUAGGUUAAGUUAGGUUAGGUUAGUUUAAUUUCAUUGGUCAUUGUGUGUGUGUGUGUGUGUGUGUGUGUGUGUGUCAUUAGGUUAAGUUAGGUUAGGUUAGUUUAAAUUCAUUGGUCAUUGUGUGUGUGUGUGUGUGUGUGUGUGUGUGUGUGUGUGUCAUUAGGUUAAGUUAGGUUAGGUUAGUUUAAAUUCAUUGGUCAUUGUGUGUGUGUGUGUGUGUGUGUGUGUCAUUAGGUUAAGUCAGGUUAGGUUAGUUUAAAUUCAUUGGUCAUUGUGUGUGUGUGUGUGUGUGUGUCAUUAGGUUAAGUUAGGUUAGGUUAGUUUAAAUUCAUUGGUCAUUGUGUGUGUGUGUGUGUGUGUGUGUCAUUAGGUUAAGUCAGGUUAGGUUAGUUUAAAUUCAUUGGUCAUUGUGUGUGUGUGUGUGUGUGUGUGUGUGUGUGUGUCAUUAGGUUAAGUCAGGUUAGGUUAGUUUUACACAGAAAUACGUUUUAAUUUAUAAACAAUACCAUACCUGCUGUUUACCCAUGAACGAAACAAGUAUAUUACAUGAUACUGAAUAGGUUUUUUAUAUAUACCCCAAGGGAGGAGGCUAUUAAUGACUAAAUAGUUACCUUAAGAAUUGUUCUGUGCAAUGGGAGAGAUAUAUAAAUGUAUCUUUAGCCUAUAUAUAUAUAUAUCUAUAACUACGACAAUUUCUAAUGUUUUAUAAUCCAGGGAAAUCUAGCUCUGUGGUCGCGUCCUACAUAUAUUAGGCCUAGUGCAGGUGCCCUUAAUUGACAAGAAAAUUAGGCCUCUCCUCUUGACCUGUUGUGAUCGUGUUUUAUGAAUCCUAACCUCGAAAAUCACUUUGAUAUGAUAACAAGGAUAAUUUGAAAUAUGCUGGAGACACGAAAAGAUGCCCAAAACUCGCCAAUCAGGACGGAAAGAUGCCCAAAAAAACGCCAGCCCACCAGCGUCAAAUUCUACCCGCCAGUGAAGAAACAGAACCGUCACAUUUGGCGGGAAAUUCGCCAACCUACGCGUCAAAGACCUAAAUUUUGUUCACCCGGCCGGGGAGUCAAACCCCGGCCCUUCUGGUUGUGAGGCAGACGCUUUAUCCACUGAGCUACCGGCCCGUGUGUGUGUGUGUGUGUGUCAUUAGGUUAGGUUACAGGGCCUGGGCUUACAUGUCCUACUACUACUACUACUACUACUACUACUACUACUACUACUACUACUACU